rnacentral:rRNA from 1 species
AUGACUAUUAACAAAAGUCAAGGGCAGACUCUUUCAAAUGUUGGUUUGUACUUGGAUACACCCGUGUUCACGCAUGGGCAGCUCUAUGUCGCGGUGUCUCGUGUUACUUCAAAGAAAUCACUAAAGAUCUUGAUCAAAGGAGAGGAUGACGAGCCUGCUUUUCAGACAAGGAACAUCGUGUUCCCUGAGAUCUGA